GUCUGCUGGUUGGUUCCUGUGGCCUCAGCUGGGCUCUCUGCCCUGUGUCCACCGGGCCUGCUGAGGUGCCCUGCACACAGGACUCCAUCUGUGUGACGCAAACCUCCUCCAGCUGGGCUGCUCCUAUGGGAGGGCAGGGCCUCUAGUCUCCAAGGCCUCAGGGUUUGGAUUUUAAAAGAAACGUUAACAUUUGCAAAGGUGGGAUCCUUAGCUCACAUCAAGCCUCUUGUUCCCAUGCCAGCAGCCUGGAGAUUCUAAACCACAGACCGCCUUGUGUCGUCCUGCAGCUCUAUCUGGAACUCAAAGCAUCAGUAUGAGCAACCUGGCUGUCACUGCUGGAUCUCACGAAGAGAUUCUCAGAAUAUACCUACCAAAGGAACCACUUUUCAAACCCCUAACUUGAGGAAAAGUCCUUUAAGAUUUUAGUGCACAGAAAUCAUAAGCCCGUGGACAAAGCGCCCCACGCUGAAGCCGUCCAGAAGGCUCUUCUGCACUAGUGAGCCACGCUGAGAUUAAGACUGAUUAGCGGCAUCAGGCUGUAAGUGGGAUGAAAUAUGCUGCCACGUCUCGAGGAGUCAUCCAUUGGAGUUACCACUUGUCCGAUUCCCGUCGGCAGCUGAAUUUAUCACACAGGCAUGAAAUCCGCCUGUAGCCUGUUCCUGGCUGCCUGACUCUUAAUCAACUACCCACUCUUGGGGAUUUUUGGCUGCCUCACCUGGUUAUGCCAAUAAAUCUGAGUGAAUAGCUGCUUGAUUUGUUAUUGAUUUCCCCAUGGACAAAUUUGGAGCUUCAUCUUCAACGAUCAGUCUUCACCGUGGAAAGCCAGGGCAAAGGAAAAGCCUUGGCCACCUGGGGCGGCUCGGGGGCCACUUCUUUGUGUUAGAGCACUUACCAUCUCAGAUGACUGAAUUUAGUUGGUGCCAUAGAUAUUCUGGUUCAAGGGGAGAGAGGAGGAGUAUGUGGGGGAUCACGCAUUCCUCACAGCCUGGCAGAUCAGGGAACAGAAAGGAGAUGCAGCAGAGCUGGACCCUAACACCUGUGGUCUUCCUCCGCUAUGGCCACACCAGCUAGUCCUGACAUCUCAAAGGUCCUACAACCUCACAAAGCAUCGAAACCUGCUGUGGUGGACCAAGGUUUCAGUCAAGAUCUUUGGUUGGGAAACAGUUCACACUGAGACCAUCACAACAGUUAAAACUGGCUAUGCUUGCACUGUUCUCAGUGUGAGCCAAACUGAGACCCCAUGAGUGAAAACCCCCAGAAUAGGAACACUGGAGCAUCAGUGUUUCUCUAAAUGGCUGCCUCACCCUUCCUGAGAAUCUGAGCUCAAAGCCAACUCAGCUGGAGAUUUUACCCCUAUUGUCUGGGUUGAUCUUUGUGUUCUCCUUAGAAGUGGCUUGAUCUGGAAUCCGGAGAAAGAAGUAGCUUCUGGAGACGGAGACGCAGCGAAGACCGGAGAGGGAGAUGUGGUCUCAUCUCAUGACUUGCAGAUGCAUCUAGGACACCAUCAGUCAUGACUUGCCAUUUUAGAGAGAAAAAUCACCUUGGCCCCUUCCCCUGGCUUUCUCACCAAAUCUUACAACUGUCCUUGUUUAUCAAUGUGGAGCGACUUUC